rnacentral:misc_RNA from 1 species
GAUGAAGAACGCAGCGAAAUGCGAUAAGUAAUGUGAAUUGCAGAAUUCAGUGAAUCAUCGAAUCUUUGAACCCACAUUGCGCCCGCCAGUAUUCUGGCGGGCAUGCCUGUUCGAGCGUCAUUUCAACCAUCAAGCCCCCGGCUUGUGUUGGGGACCUGCGGCUGCCGCAGGCCCUGAAAAGCAGUGGCGGGCUCGCUGUCACACCGAGCGUAGUAGCAUACAUCUCGCUCUGGGCGUGCUGCGGGUUCCGGCCGUUAAACCACCUUCAUAACCCAAGGUUGACCUCGGAUCAGGUAGGAAGACCCGCUGAACUUAAGCAUAUCAAUAAGCGGAGGA